rnacentral:lncRNA from 1 species
GCCAUCAAACUCCAGUCUGCACCUGGAGCCUUGGAUGAUGGCCUUUUUUACUGGGAACCCUGAAAUAGGCCUCUGAGGGAAAUCUGAUUGCCAUUUUCCCAAAACAGCUUCCCUGACAAUAGGAAGCAAUUAAGAUUGGUCUUCAUCCUUAUCUUUAUCCUUAUUCUAAUGGCAGUUAGAGAUGAGGGAAACUUCCCAGGGCUUGUCUGGGUAUGCCCACAGUGGACUGGAGCCCAAAAUGCACACUGGAGGAAGUGGAUGGAGCCACGUGGAUGUCAUGCCUUAUGCAGGGGAGGAGCCUGCUCUCUUCAGCUCCUGUGGUAAUGUGGGAAUCGAUCUGUGAGAUUCCAUGAACUCCAAGUUAAGAACACAUGAUCUGGAUGUUUGACAAAAUACCUUCAGCAGGAAUAAUGAAAGCCCUGACAUUUCUGUGUGCAUAAAAACUGGAAAACUUUAAAAGUAAUAAAUCACCAAGUCUUUAUAAAAA